CGGGACGGGUGAGUAAUGUCUGGGAAACUAGCCUGAUGGAGGGGGGUAACUACUGGAAACGGUAGCUAAUACCGCAUAACGUCGCAAGACCAAAGAGGGGGACCUUCGGGCCUCUUGCCAUCGGAUGUGCCCAGAUGGGAUUAGCUAGUAGGUGGGGUAAAGGCUCACCUAGGCGACGAUCCCUAGCUGGUCUGAGAGGAUGACCAGCCACACUGGAACUGAGACACGGUCCAG
rnacentral:rRNA from 1 species